rnacentral:tRNA from 1 species
GCUGAUAUAGCUCAGGUGGUAGAGCGCUACAUUGGUAAUGUAGAGGUCACGGGUCCGACUCCCGUUAUCAGCU